CGGACGGGUGAGUAACACGUGGAUAACCUACCUAUAAGACUGGGAUAACUUCGGGAAACCGGAGCUAAUACCGGAUAGUAUUUUGAACCGCAUGGUUCAAAAGUGAAAGACGGUCUUGCUGUCACUUAUAGAUGGAUCCGCGCUGCAUUAGCUAGUUGGUAAGGUAACGGCUUACCAAGGCAACGAUGCAUAGCCGACCUGAGAGGGUGAUCGGCCACACUGGAACUGAGACACGGUCCAG
rnacentral:rRNA from 1 species